rnacentral:rRNA from 1 species
GAUGAACGCUGGCGGCGUGCCUAAUACAUGCAAGUCGAGCGAACGGACGAGGAGCUUGCUCCUCUGACGUUAGCGGCGGACGGGUGAGUAACACGUGGAUAACCUACCUAUAAGACUGGGAUAACUUCGGGAAACCGGAGCUAAUACCGGAUAAUAUAUUGAACCGCAUGGUUCAAAAGUGAAAGACGGUUUUGCUGUCACUUAUAGAUGGAUCCGCGCCGCAUUAGCUAGUUGGUAAGGUAACGGCUUACCAAGGCAACGAUGCGUAGCCGACCUGAGAGGGUGAUCGGCCACACUGGAACUGAGACACGGUCCAGACUCCUACGGGAGGCAGCAGUAGGGAAUCUUCCGCAAUGGGCGAAAGCCUGACGGAGCAACGCCGCGUGAGUGAUGAAGGUCUUCGGAUCGUAAAACUCUGUUAUUAGGGAAGAACAAAUGUGUAAGUAACUAUGCACAUCUUGACGGUACCUAAUCAGAAAGCCACGGCUAACUACGUG